UACGUAGGUGGCAAGCGUUGUCCGGAUUUACUGGGCGUAAAGGAUGCGUAGGUGGAUAUUUAAGUGGGAUGUGAAAUACCCGGGCUCAACUCGGGUGCUGCAUUCCAAACUGGAUAUCUAGAGUGCAGGAGAGGUAAGUGGAAUUCCUAGUGUAGCGGUGAAAUGCGUAGAGAUUAGGAAGAACACCAGUGGCGAAGGCGACUUACUGGACUGUAACUGACACUGAGGCAUGAAAGCGUGGGGAGCAAAC
rnacentral:rRNA from 1 species